rnacentral:rRNA from 1 species
UCCACGCCGUAAACGAUGUCAACUAGUCGUUGGGUUCUUUAAUGAACUUAGUGACGCAGCUAACGCAGUAAGUUGACCGCCUGGGGAGUACGGCCGCAAGGCUAAAACUCAAAGGAAUUGACGGGGGCCCGCACAAGCGGUGGAGCAUGUGGUUUAAUUCGAUGCAACGCGAAGAACCUUACCUACCCUUGACAUCCAGAGAAUCUGUUAGAGAUAGUAGAGUGCCUUCGGG